rnacentral:lncRNA from 1 species
UCGUCUUCCAAUGCCAUAAGCCCUUGUUUUGAAGUUACGAACCGUCUUUCCAGUAAGUACGUCGAUUUUUAAAGUUACUGUGCACUAGUUUUUGACAUAUGGUUUCAGUUUAGCUUCAACCUAGGAUUUCAGUUCUCACUUGUUACAUUGUACUGAUAUCUAAUUAGGGAUGCAUCAUUUUGCUUCUCAGGAAGCUAAGGUUGCUUACACCGGGGAGAACCAUCUGCGCCGAGAAAGUGAAAAAUGGGAAAAUGUUGCUUCCUCGUUAUAGUGAUCAUGUCAGUUUAUGACCUUUGUUUUCCAAUUAACUUUGGUUGGCUCAGAUCAACAUAAACAUAGCUUGGCAUAGCUGAGAAAUGAAGGCUUUACCUUACUAGUAGAAAAUAAAGGAUUAUCUAAUGAUGAUUGAUGAUAAUGGUAGUAGUAACAAUAAUAUUUGAUAGAGCCAUGAAACAAAAUGUCAAUAUUGUACUAUGUCUCUUCAUUGAUUAUAUACC